AUGCCGCGUGUGUGAAGAAGGCCUUUUGAUUGUAAAGCACUUUAAGCAGUGAAGAAGACUCUGUGGUUAAUACCUACAGACGAUGACAUUAGCUGCAGAAUAAGCACCGGCUAACUCUGUGCCAGCAGCCGCGGUGAUACAGAGGGUGCAAGCGUUAAUCGGAAUUACUGGGCGUAAAGGGAGCGUAGGUGGCUCGAUAAGUCAGAUGUGAAAUCCCCGGGCUCAACCUGGGAACUGCAUCUGAUACUGUUGAGCUAGAGUAUGUGAGAGGAAGGUAGAAUUCCAGGUGUAGCGGUGAAAUGCGUAGAGAUCUGGAGGAAUACCGAUGGCGAAGGCAGCCUUCUGGCAUAAUACUGACACUGAGGCUCGAAAGCGUGGGUAGCAAACAGGAUUAGAUACCCUGGUAGUCCACGCCGUAAACGAUGUCUACUAGUCGUUGGGUCCCUUGAG
rnacentral:rRNA from 1 species